GUGACGUUACGUGUGGGGCCACACCCGUUCCCAUUCCGAACACGGCAGUUAAGCCCAUACGGCCGAGGGUAGUC
rnacentral:rRNA from 1 species